AAGUCGUAACAAGGUUUCCGUAGGUGAACCUGCGGAAGGAUCAUUACAAAUCCAAAUAACAAUUACCCGUUGAAAUGUUCUCGGCCUUGGUUGUUGCAUGUAUUUUAUAUACAUGCUGUGUAAAAUGGAAGUCUCAUCAUUUCCACCCAGGGUCCGGUAUUAUAACAAACAACGCUUACUUAUUAUGGCCAUACAUAACUGUGUGACUACAAAACAACUUUUAACAAUGGAUCUCUAGGCUCUU
rnacentral:misc_RNA from 1 species